CCUACGGGGGGCAGCAGUGGGGAAAAUUGGACAAUGGGGGGAACCCUGAUCCAGCCAUGCCGCGUGUGUGAAGAAGGCCCUCGGGUUGUAAAGCACUUUCAGUGAGGAAGAACGCCUGGUGGUUAAUACCCAUCAGGAAAGACAUCACUCACAGAAGAAGCACCGGCUAACUCCGUGCCAGCAGCCGCGGUAAUACGGAGGGUGCGAGCGUUAAUCGGAAUUACUGGGCGUAAAGCGCGCGUAGGUGGCUUGAUAAGCCGGUUGUGAAAGCCCCGGGCUCAACCUGGGAACGGCAUCCGGAACUGUCAAGCUAGAGUGCAGGAGAGGAAGGUAGAAUUCCCGGUGUAGCGGUGAAAUGCGUAGAGAUCGGGAGGAAUACCAGUGGCGAAGGCGGCCUUCUGGACUGACACUGACACUGAGGUGCGAAAGCGUGGGUAGCAAACAGGAUUAGAUACCCCGGUAGUC
rnacentral:rRNA from 1 species